rnacentral:rRNA from 1 species
CAGUACCGUGAGGGAAAGGCGAAAAGAACCCCGGCGAGGGGAGUGAAAAAGAACCUGAAACCGUGUACGUACAAGCAGUGGGAGCCUCUUAAUGGGGUGACUGCGUACCUUUUGUAUAAUGGGUCAGCGACUUAUAUUCUGUAGCAAGGUUAACCGAAUAGGGGAGCCGAAGGGAAACCGAGUCUUAACUGGGCGUUAAGUUGCAGGGUAUAGACCCGAAACCCGGUGAUCUAGCCAUGGGCAGGUUGAAGGUUGGGUAACACUAACUGGAGGACCGAACCGACUAAUGUUGAAAAAUUAGCGGAUGACUUGUGGCUGGGGGUGAAAGGCCAAUCAAACCGGGAGAUAGCUGGUUCUCCCCGAAAGCUAUUUAGGUAGCGCCUCGUGAAUUCAUCUCCGGGGGUAGAGCACUGUUUCGGCAAGGGGGUCAUCCCGACUUACCAACCCGAUGCAAACUGCGAAUACCGGAGAAUGUUAUCACGGGAGACACACGGCGGGUGCUAACGUCCGUCGUGAAGAGGGAAACAACCCAGACCGCCAGCUAAGGUCCCAAAGUCAUGGUUAAGUGGGAAACGAUGUGGGAAGGCCCAGACAGCCAGGAUGUUGGCUUAGAAGCAGCCAUCAUUUAAAGAAAGCGUAAUAGCUCACUGGUCGAGUCGGCCUGCGCGGAAGAUGUAACGGGGCUAAACCAUGCACCGAAGCUGCGGCAGCGACGCUUAUGCGUUGUUGGGUAGGGGAGCGUUCUGUAAGCCUGUGAAGGUGGCCUGUGAGGGUUGCUGGAGGUAUCAGAAGUGCGAAUGCUGACAUAAGUAACGAUAAAGCGGGUGAAAAGCCCGCUCGCCGGAAGACCAAGGGUUCCUGUCCAACGUUAAUCGGGGCAGGGUGAGUCGACCCCUAAGGCGAGGCCGAAAGGCGUAGUCGAUGGGAAACAGGUUAAUAUUCCUGUACUUGGUGUUACUGCGAAGGGGGGACGGAGAAGGCUAUGUUGGCCGGGCGACGGUUGUCCCGGUUUAAGCGUGUAGGCUGGUUUUCCAGGCAAAUCCGGAAAAUCAAGGCUGAGGCGUGAUGACGAGGCACUACGGUGCUGAAGCGACAAAUGCCCUGCUUCCAGGAAAAGCCUCUAAGCAUCAGGUAACAUUAAAUCGUACCCCAAACCGACACAGGUGGUCAGGUAGAGAAUACCAAGGCGCUUGAGAGAACUCGGGUGAAGGAACUAGGCAAAAUGGUGCCGUAACUUCGGGAGAAGGCACGCUGAUAUGUAGGUGAAGCGACUUGCUCGUGGAGCUGAAAUCAGUCGAAGAUACCAGCUGGCUGCAACUGUUUAUUAAAAACACAGCACUGUGCAAACACGAAAGUGGACGUAUACGGUGUGACGCCUGCCCGGUGCCGGAAGGUUAAUUGAUGGGGUUAGCGGUAACGCGAAGCUCUUGAUCGAAGCCCCGGUAAACGGCGGCCGUAACUAUAACGGUCCUAAGGUAGCGAAAUUCCUUGUCGGGUAAGUUCCGACCUGCACGAAUGGCGUAAUGAUGGCCAGGCUGUCUCCACCCGAGACUCAGUGAAAUUGAACUCGCUGUGAAGAUGCAGUGUACCCGCGGCAAGACGGAAAGACCCCGUGAACCUUUACUAUAGCUUGACACUGAACAUUGAGCCUUGAUGUGUAGGAUAGGUGGGAGGCUUUGAAGUGUGGACGCCAGUCUGCAUGGAGCCGACCUUGAAAUACCACCCUUUAAUGUUUGAUGUUCUAACGUGGGCCCCUUACCGGGGUUGCGGACAGUGUCUGGUGGGUAGUUUGACUGGGGCGGUCUCCUCCUAAAGAGUAACGGAGGAGCACGAAGGUUGGCUAAUCCUGGUCGGACAUCAGGAGGUUAGUGCAAUGGCAUAAGCCAGCUUGACUGCGAGCGUGACGGCGCGAGCAGGUGCGAAAGCAGGUCAUAGUGAUCCGGUGGUUCUGAAUGGAAGGGCCAUCGCUCAACGGAUAAAAGGUACUCCGG